UUUCCGGUUGAUCCCGCCGGACCCGACCGCUAUCGGGGUGGGGCUAAGCCAUGGGAGUCGUACGCCCCGCCGCUGCGGGGCGUGGCGGACGGCUGAGUAACACGUGGCUAACCUACCCUCGGGACGGGGAUAGUCCCGGGAAACUGGGGCUAAUCCCCGAUAGGUGGAGCGGCCUGGAAGGGUCCUCCACCGAAAGGGUGUCGCGGGGAUGUCCGCGGCGCCGCCCGAGGAUGGGGCCACGGCCCAUCAGGUAGUUGGCGGGGUAACGGCCCGCCAAGCCUAUAACGGGUAGGGGCCGUGAGAGCGGGAGCCCCCAGAUGGGCCCUGAGACAAGGGCCCAGGCCCUACGGGGCGCACCAGGCGCGAAAACUCCGCAAUGCGGGCAACCGUGACGGGGCCACCCCGAGUGCCCCGAAGAGGGGCUUUUCCCCGCUGUAGGAAGGCGGGGGAAUAAGCGGGGGGCAAGUCUGGUGUCAGCCGCCGCGGUAAUACCAGCCCCGCGAGUGGUCGGGACGAUUAUUGGGCCUAAAGCGCCCGUAGCCGGCCCGGUAAGUCCUCCCUUAAAGCCCCGGGCACAACCCGGGGACGGGGAGGAUACUGCCGGGCUAGGGGGCGGGAGAGGCCGAGGGUACUCCCGGGGUAGGGGCGAAAUCCGUUAAUCCCGGGAGGACCACCAGUGGCGAAGGCGCUCGGCUGGAACGCGCCCGACGGUGAGGGGCGAAAGCCGGGGGAGCGAACCGGAUUAGAUACCCGGGUAGUCCCGGCUGUAAACGAUGCGGGCUAGGUGUUGGGCGGGUCCUAGAGCCCGCCCGGUGCCGCAGGGAAGCCGUUAAGCCCGCCGCCUGGGGAGUACGGCCGCAAGGCUGAAACUUAAAGGAAUUGGCGGGGGAGCACCACAAGGGGUGGAGCCUGCGGCUUAAUUGGAGUCAACGCCGGGA
rnacentral:rRNA from 1 species